CACCCGAUAGUACACGGUGUGCACCUGCCUCUGAUUUCAGGGCAAAAUAUGAAUACUUAUAGUGCAGGAGUCCCCCGUUCGACCCGGGGUCGGGUGC